rnacentral:rRNA from 1 species
UACCAGCACCCCGAGUGGUCGGUACGAUUAUUGGGCCUAAAGCAUCCGUAGCCGGUUUUACAAGUCCCCCGUUAAAUCCAGCUGCUUAACAGAUGGGCUGCGGAGGAUACUAUAAGACUAGGAGGCAGGAGAGGCAAGCGGUACUCAGUGGGUAGGGGUAAAAUCCGUUGAUCCAUUGAAGACCACCAGUGGCGAAGGCGGCUUGCCAGAAUGCGCUCGACGGUGAGGGAUGAAAGCUGGGGGAGCAAACCGG